rnacentral:lncRNA from 1 species
CCUUCUUUCAAACACAACUUACUUUCUGUCCACAAAUUAGUAAAACAGUUGCACUGUAUAGUCUUGUUUACUGCAAUUUCCUGUUUCCCUCACAUGUUACAGGCCCCUUCUCUGAAGAUGCCCCUGGAUCUUGGUAAAGAGGAGGUUGGUCUGUACAAGUUUGCUUGGGUGCCACCUUCACAUUCUUCUUUUACUAGUUGCACAUCUGUUUCUGUAUGUUCCUUUUCUGAUUCUUCUGAUCCUGUAUCUUCUUCAAGCCAUAAGACUGUUGCUUUACCUUUAAAUGUAAAUAGCUCCAUUUGUAAUAAUGCUGAUGCAAAUGACAUGAAUUACAUUUGGCAUUUAAGACUGGCUCAUAUUCCUUUUGCAAAUAUGAAACACAUUUCUGCUUUGUCAUUUUCCUUUGCUUCUAAACAACCAUUUCCUUGUUCUAUUUGUCCUAUGGCUAGGCAAAUCAGGUUUCCCUUCCCUGAUAGUUCAAUCAGUACAAGUAGACAUUUCCAAUUAAUUUAUGUAGACACUUGGGGUCCUUACCACACACCCACCUCUUCUGGCUCAAGAUAUUUUCUUACAAUAGUCGAUGAUUUUUCUAGAGCCACCUGGACACAUCUACUCGGGUCUAAAAGCAAUGCUUUCUGCAUGAUCAAGUCUUUUCUGUCUAUGGUUAAAACUCAGUUUAAUGCAACUGUCCAAACUAUAAGAAGUGAUAAUGCCUUGGAAUUGGGGUCUAGCCUUGAUGGUACUUCUUUCUUCAACCAACAAGGCAUUAUUCAUCAAACUAUUUGUCCCCACACUCCUCAACAAAAUGGUGUUGAUGAAAGAAAACAUAGGACACUUCUUGAAGCUUGUAGAGCCUUACUUUUUCAAUCCAAGUUACCCAUAUCCUUCCGGGGGGACUGUUUACUAACUGCUACAUACUUGCUUAAUAGGUUACCAUCCAGGAUCCUUCACAACAAAUCCCCUUAUGAAAUAUUAUAUGGAACGGCAACUACUUACUCACAUUUAAGGGCAUUUGGUUGUCUUGCCUAUGCUAAUGCCCCUAUUCCACAAAGGGAUAAGCUAAACCUAGGGCAACUUCAUGUGUUUUUCUGGGAUAUCCUUUUUCCAAAAAGGGUUACAAGUUAUAUGAUCUAGCUUUCAAAAAGUAUUUUGUGUCUAGGGAUGUUGUAUUUCAUGAAACUUGUUUUCCUUUUGCAAUUGUUUCUGCUAUUACCUCUGGUCCUUCUGUUUUCUCUUCUCCACCUCCUGUUGUCCCUUCUCCUGGUCACCAACAUUCUGAGACAGACAUUUCUGUUCCAACUUGUUCUUCUCUCCCUUCUCCUUCUGCACCUUUUCCUUCUACUUCCAGUUCUGCUCCCUCUUCUGUUCCUUCCUCAAUACUUUCUGAACUUAUUCCUUAUGCUUCCAGUCCACCCUUUAAUCCUGACUUACUUCCAGUUCUGCUCCCUCUUAUGUUCCUUCCUCAAUACUUUCUGAACUUAUUCCUUCUGCUUCCAGUCCACCCUUUAAUCCUGACAUUUCUCCUCCUGUUAUUUCUUCCCCUACAGCACCUACUGUCAACAGAAGAUCUGGAAGGCAACACACCGCUCCUUCUUAUGUCAAAGAUUAUGUUUGUCAGCUACCUUCCUUUUCUGGCUCUUCUUCAUCUGCUUCUCUUUUGGAAUCUGAACCUCUUUAUUAUUCUCAAGCUGCAUCAGUCCCAGCCUAGCAGGAUGCAAUGAGAAAGGAGUUUGAUGCAUUGGAUGCCAACCAUACUUGGGAUGUUGUUCCCAUUCCUCCUGGUAAGAAACCCAUAGGAUGCAAAUGGGUCUAUAAGAUCAAAUACAAGGCUGAUGGUAGUGUUGAAAGAUAUAAGGCUAGGCUUGUUAUUAGAGGAGACACCCAAAUUAUGAGUUGAUUUCACAGAAACAUUUUCCCAUGUGAUUAAAAUGUCUACUGUUAAAUGCUUAAUUGUUGUGGCUGUUAAGAAACACUGGGCUCUUUUUCAACUUGAUGUUAACAAUGCCUUCUUGCAUGGUGACCUAGAUGAGGAAGUAUAUAUGAAGCUUCCUCCAGGUUUGAGUGUUUCUGAUUCUUCUGUUACUUCUGUUUCUUCUGUCUCCACUCCCAUUUUGUGCAAGUUGAACAAAUCCCUUUAUGGAUUAAGACAUGCUUCAAGACAAUGGUAUGCCAAAUUGUUUCAAGCUCUAUAUACCAGAGGCUAUACACAUUCUCUGAAUGAUUACUCUUUGUUUGUCAACGGUCAACUUGGGUGUCUUGUGGUUCUGGCAGUAUAUGUGGAUGACAUUAUUAUCACUGGAGAUGAUACUACUGAAAUUUGUGCCCUAAAACACUUCUUGGAUGAUCAGUUUAGGAUUAAAGACCUGGGGUCUUUACAUUAUUUUCUAGGAAUUGAGGUGUAUGUUAUUCCUGGUGGAGUGCUUCUUAAUCAGAAGAAAUUUGUAUCUGACUUGUUGCAUCAAUUUGAUUGUGCUAUUGUUUCUCCUGUUGUUUGUCCAUUAGACCUUAAUGCCAAACUUCAUGCUGAUUCUGGUGAUCUGUUCUCUGCUCCUGAUCAGUAUAGGAGCUUGAUUGGCAAGCUCCUCCUUUUGACACAUACCAGACCUGAUAUUUGCUUUGAUGUACAACAUUUGAGUCAGUUCUUGCAGUCUCCUAGACUUUCUCACAUGACUGCUGCCCUGCAUGUUCUUAGGUAUCUUAAGGGCACUAUGGAUUUGGGGCUUUUUUAUUCUGACUCCCCUGACUUUUCAAUACAUGCCUUUUCAGACAGUGAUUAGGCAGUAUGUCCUGAUACUCGCAGGUCUGUUACUGGUUUCUGUGUGAUUUUAGGUGGCAGUCUGGUAAGUUGGAAAUCCCAGAAACAACCAGUAGUCUCUUUAUCUUCUGCUGAAGCAUAAUACAGGGCUCUUAGUAAGGUGGUUGCUGAACUAUCUUGGCUUUCUAGAGUGCUCACUGAUCUUGGUGUUUCUGUGUCACUUUCAUUUUCUGUUUUUUUUUUGUGAUAACCAGGCUGCUCUACAUAUAGCCAAGAAUCCAGUCUUUCAUGAGCGGACCAAACAUAUUGAGGUUGAUUGUCAUUUUGUUCGACAUAAGCUUUCUGAUGGGCUAAUUUCUCUCUCUCAUGUCUCCACUUCUCAAAAGUUAGCUGAUGUCCUCACCAAGCCUUUGCCUGGCACUGUUCAUCAUCAUCUUUUGCGCAAGUUGUAGGUGGUUUCCCCCUCCAACUUGAGGGGGGUGUUGCGCUAAUGGAUUAUCUAGCCUCUAAGCCUAAACACAAACAC